UACGUAGGGUCCGAGCGUUGUCCGGAGUUACUGGGCGUAAAGCGCGCGCAGGCGGCGGUGCUGGCCCGGCGUGAAAGCCCCCGGCUCAACCGGGGAGGGUCGUCGGGUACGGCCAGGCUUGAGGGCGGGAGAGGGUGGUGGAAUUCCCGGUGUAGUGGUGAAAUGCGUAGAGAUCGGGAGGAACACCUGUGGCGAAGGCGGC
rnacentral:rRNA from 1 species